AGUACAAAAAAAAUCAAGAUGAACAAGUCAAUUUUGUUGGUACUCAUUCCCUGUCUCGUCGCCUUUGUGGUGGUUAAAUCCCAGAUGCACCCAGGAUACCAGAUGACAGGUGCCUACCCAUAUUACUACGCAAACCAACUGGGUGCAUACCAGCAACAGACCGGAUUAUACAACACCGGAAAUGCUCUCACCGCACAGUUUCAAAAUGCAAAACUUCUAAACUACUUAUUCGGAUUCUUGCUUCUCCUCCAGUUCACAAAUGCCACAGGAAACACAGUCGGAUAAUAUGUUCGAUCAAGAAGUGACUUUCGCUACUACAGAGCAGUCCUGAUGGUUAAUCUAAAUAAAAAUAUAAAAGACUGAUA